UACGUAGGGGGCUAGCGUUGUCCGGAAUCAUUGGGCGUAAAGCGCGCGUAGGCGGUCAGGUAAGUCCGGUGUGAAAGUCAAAGGCUCAACCUUUGAAUGCCGCUGGAUACUGCUUGACUUGAGUCCGGAAGGGGCGAGUGGAAUUCCUGGUGUAGCGGUGAAAUGCGCAGAUAUCAGGAGGAACACCAAUGGCGAAGGCAGCUCGCUGGAACGGUACUGACGCUGAGGCGCGAAAAGCGUGGGGGAGCGAACAGG
rnacentral:rRNA from 1 species